rnacentral:rRNA from 1 species
CCAAUAGCGUAUAUUAAAGUUGUUGCAGUUAAAAAGCUCGUAGUUGAAUUUCGGGGUUAGUAGGUUGGUCAUGCCUCUGGUAUGUACUGAUCUCACUGAUUCCUCCCUCUUGACGAACUGUAAUGUCAUUAAUUUGGUGUUGCAGGAAAUCAGGACUGUUACUUUGAAAAAAUUAGAGUGUUUAAAGCAGGCUAAGGCUUGAAUACAUUAGCAUGGAAUAAUGAAAUAGGACGUUUGAUCCUAUUUUGUUGGUUUCUAGGAUUGACGUAAUGAUUAAUAGGGAUAGUAGGGGGCAUUAGUAUUGAAUUGUAAGAGGUGAAAUUCUUGGAUUUAUUGAAGACGAACUACUGCGAAAGCAUUUGCCAAGGAUGUUUUCAUUAAUCAAGAACGAAAGUUAGGGGAUCGAAGACGAUCAGAUACCGUCGUAGUCUUAACCAUAAACUAUGCCGACUAGGGAUCGGAUGAUGUUAAUUAUUUAAUGACUCAUUCGGCGCCUUACG